GGAGAGAUGGCUGAGUGGUUGAAAGCACCGGUCUUGAAAACCGGCAUACGUUAAUAGCGUAUGGGUUCAAAUCCCUAUCUCUCCGCCA
rnacentral:tRNA from 1 species